UAGAGGAAUCAAAUCUCACUGUUACCGGGUAAGUUGCUGUCAUGUUUGGUAAAUGUAUUCACCUAUUGGCCAUUUCAUAACGAUGCAAAUGUUUAGAAAAUAGUGAAAUGUGGUAAAACUUGAGAACAAAAUUGUGUAAAGGUCAACUUUACUCAUGUCUAGUAAGAAUGAAUGCUUUGUAAGUCAUUCUCAGGGGGAAAUAAUCUCCGGUGCACCUAUUUAAGGAUGUAGAAUUCAACUGGAGUUGAAAGUAGCUUCAGACAGCAGGAUUGGGUCUUAUUUCUGAUUGGCUAACAGCAACACGGCUCUACCCCUAAUUCCAUUUGCUUUGCAACGUUGAUGUUUUAUCUGCACAAAUAACUCAAGCCUGGAGGAGUUCUGCUGUGUGGUGGAGUUGCUAAUGCUAACAGCUUCUAAGUCGAGACGUUCUCUGUUGUUUCCUGGAUGCUAAAACAACAACAGCCUUCCCGUCGCGAGUCAAGUUGGGUGAGUCCAUAAGCGAUUUUCUGAUGCAGGAAAUAGGGGUAGAAGAUUAUUUUUACAUUCAGCCUGCAUAAAUAAUGAGUAAAGAAUGGUGUCUCAGUGAACUUGCUCUUUAAAUUUUUUGUCAUGAUUAUAAUGAGGAAAUAAAUCUCAGUAUUAUUUUAAUGUGCUUAAAACAGUAAAACCAUCAGCAUUGCUGGGUUAGUUGUUGUAAGUGGGAAUUAGUAGUUUUCAUCAUUUCAUUUUUUUUGCAAAUUUAUUAGAGUAGAUUGUAGAGUUUUCAAUCACUUUGAAACAUUACGAGCUGUUUUAACUUUUAAAGCACAAAAGCUAGAGACUUUUAUUUUGAAGGUUUUUUUCUGGCAGUUGGACUAGUGAAACUAUACGGCUUCAUAAUGAAGCAGCUUUAUAAAGCACAUAUAUGCUCACAACCUUAUAAAAGUAGAAGGAAUUUAACCAGCAACCCGCAAAUAAGACUGAUUAAAAUUCUUCAUUUUAAGAGCAACAACAGGCUAAAAAGUUGUUAGCUGUAACCUUUCAAGCAGACAGCAGAUCCACACUUUUCUCUUUACAUCAUCCAUCUUUCUUUUUUCCACAUCUUUUUUUAAAUGGGUAAAAGGGUUUAAUAUUGAAUAAUUUUACACAAAACCUUAUUUUCUUCUUCUUAUUAUUAUUAUUAAAGCCAUAAAGCCAAACAUGUGCUGCAACAGGACUAAUCAGCUUCACCUCUAAGAGUUCAGUUUAACAGAAAGAGAAAGGAGACGUGAGUCAUGAUGAGUAUUAAUCAAAUAUUUUCAAGUUGCGGCGUCUCGGAGUGUUGUGUCAACAUUUCCAUUUAAACUUUGUCUCUGCUAAACAGGAGCAGACCCAAGCAUGUGUCCCUUUGUGUGUUUUAUAGUUGGGAUCGCACCAGUUGUUCACAGCUGUUCGUCUGAUCGGAGAACUUCAAAUAGGCAAUUAGAGCAUCAUGAGCAACAAUGACAGAAGCUUCUCACCAGCUCUGUCUAACUGGACUGAUGGAUGCAAAGUUGCAUUUAAUGAUAUGAAGCAACAGAUCAGAGUACAAUAACUUGCCGCGUGCGUGCAUAAGAUGCUGCAAAAUCGUUCUGCUGGACACCAACAUCAGCAAAGUGGACAUUGUUCUUUACCACUCUGAUAAGCACGACGCCCACUGUAAACUUCCUCCAUACUGUAAACACCAGUCAAGCUGCAACAAAAAGUGUUGAUGUGAGGAGAUCUUUCAAUGAGGCGUGUCCACAAAAUGUGCUCCGACACACAAACGCCUGCUGCUAAAAAAACAUCCUCGAUGACAACAGCACAAAGCCCUGAGAGCUUUCUCCAACCAGUAACGAGCAACCGCUGCAGCCCUGCCUGCCCACGCUGCAUUAUUGACCCAGUCAGUUGAUGCAAGUUUAUCUGAGAAGCAACUGCUGUGCCCACAUGAAGAACAAGCAGCAGCUCUUUCCUCCUCAGAUACGAAUGAAACCGCACAACAGCAGGAAACCAAACAACGUCCUCCCCAAAUCCAGUCCAGCUCCGUACUCACCUCUCCAGGUGUGAAAGAGGACCAGGAGGAGUCCAGCCAGCAGAGAGGC